UGCAUUUUGUGUUCAUUUUAUUUACGUAAUUUGAGUUUUCAUAACAUCACCACGUCUCCAGCAGUCUGUCUCGGCAAUCAGGACCUUCCAAAGACAUCCCCGUUCCACACAUUAAACCACAGCCAGCCAAAAGGGCUCAGGAUCAGUUCCAGAUUCCAGAUGCAGAUUGAGUCCAGCCCCAGCAAUGUGUCGAGUUGGCAGCCGGUGCGGGAAGCAGAGCAGCGCCAGCGUAGACAGUGCCACAACCUGGUGCUGUCGCUCUGUGGUGCUGAGUUGGCCAUGGAGAAGUGGCUGAGGAGAAGUGCCUGGUCAACCACAGUCUGCUCCUUUACGACCUAUAUAAUUUAUAGACUUUUGCAUUUUUUCGUGUCUUCAUCUUCUGGCCCGGACUUUCAUGUGUCGCCGACAGCUGGCAGCGUCGCCCCUCAAGUGCAUCCCCACUUAUAAUUUCAGGUUAUUUUCCUCAGUUUAUUGUUUUUCUCUGGGCUGGAUGCAUCGACUUCGGCUUGACCAAUGAGGUAAUCAAAAUUCAUCAGUAUUCAACUCGAGAACAAUGGAAGAUUUGUAACUGGGUGGAAAUGACUGUGACUGACUGACUGGCUUCUCUGUUGGGGACCGUGCAUUCCGCUCUUUCAGUGAUGCCAAGUCUGGUGCUUUCUGUACUCAUCUAGUCUUCAUGAGGCAGUGUAGUUCUGUGCAAUGAAUGAAGACUGUGUAAUAGUGACCCCGACAUCGUGCAACUGGGAACAAAAGAUAAGCAGCACAUAACUGGUAACACUGGAAAAUAAACAGAGUUUCUUGCAAUGUUCUUGUGAUGAAAUCAUUAUAGAAUUAUUUCUCUAAUCAUUAGAUUUUUCAUGCAUAAGUUAAAUGAAAAAGUGAUGUUAAAUAUUCAGUGGGUGCCAAUAACGAACUAUAGCUCCAAUUCCUUUGGAGGCCAAAAAGGAAUGUGAAGAUUCUAUUUAAAAAAUAUUUCUCAUCUGUAAUUUGUCAACAGGCAGUAUUUUUAAGAAAAAGCUAUUUUGUAUUUUUAGGCAGAGUCUGCCUUCACGUAUGAAUGCGGACUUGACUUGAUAACACAUUAGCUGUUAGCAAUGUUACAAAAAAGUUUAAAGACGAAGCACUAUGUAUCCCAAAACCUAUAAAACAUAUGAGCAAUAAGGUUACAUUGUAUGUUGUGACUGAAAUAUUUACCAUAUUUAAUUCUGAGAAGAGG